AUCCAACUGAAGAGUCCCAAAUAGGACGAAACGCGCGUUCUGGAU
rnacentral:hammerhead_ribozyme from 1 species